rnacentral:rRNA from 1 species
UGACGCUGAGGCACGAAAGCAUGGGGAGCAAACAGGAUUAGAUACCCUGGUAGUCCAUGCUGUAAACGAUGAUUGCUAGGUGUGGGGGGACUGACCCCUUCCGUGCCGGAGUAAACACAAUAAGCAAUCCACCUGGGGAGUACGACCGCAAGGUUGAAACUCAAAGGAAUUGACGGGGGCCCGCACAAGCAGUGGAGUAUGUGGAUUAAUUCGACGCAACGCGAAGAACCUUACCAGGUCUUGACAUCCGGCUAACGAAGCAGAGAUGCAUUAGGUGCCCUUCGGGGAAAGUCGAGACAGGUGGUGCAUGGUUGUCGUCAGCUCGUGUCGUGAGAUGUUGGGUUAAGUCCCGCAACGAGCGCAACCCUUGUUUCUAGUUGCUACGCAAGAGCACUCUAGAGAGACUGCCGUUGACAAAACGGAGGAAGGUGGGGACGACGUCAAAUCAUCAUGCCCCUUAUGACCUGGGCCACACACGUACUACAAUGGCUGUAAACAGAGGGAAGCAAAGCCGCGAGGUGGAGCAAAACCCUAAAAGCAGUCCCAGUUCGGAUCGCAGGCUGCAACCCGCCUGCGUGAAGUCGGAAUUGCUAGUAAUCGCGGAUCAGCAUGCCGCGGUGAAUACGUUCCCGGGCCUUGUACACACCGCCCGUCACACCAUGGGAGCCGGUAAUACCCGAAGCCAGUAGUUCAACCGCAAGGAGAGCGCUGUCGAAGGUAGGAUUGGCGACUGGGGUGAAGUCGUAACAAGGUAGCCGUAUCGGAAGGUGCGGCUG